rnacentral:rRNA from 1 species
CGGGCCAAAGAGGGGGACCUUCGGGCCUCUCGCGUCAGGAUAUGCCUAGGUGGGAUUAGCUAGUUGGUGAGGUAAGGGCUCACCAAGGCGACGAUCCCUAGCUGGUCUGAGAGGAUGAUCAGCCACACUGGAACUGAGACACGGUCCAGACUCCUACGGGAGGCAGCAGUGGGGAAUAUUGCACAAUGGGCGCAAGCCUGAUGCAGCCAUGCCGCGUGUAUGAAGAAGGCCUUCGGGUUGUAAAGUACUUUCAGUAGUGAGGAAGGUUGUGUAGUUAAUAGCUGCAUUAUUUGACGUUAGCGACAGAAGAAGCACCGGCUAACUCCGUGCCAGCAGCCGCGGUAAUACGGAGGGUGCGAGCGUUAAUCGGAAUUACUGGGCGUAAAGCGCAUGCAGGUGGUUUGUUAAGUCAGAUGUGAAAGCCCGGGGCUCAACCUCGGAAUAGCAUUUGAAACUGGCAGACUAGAGUACUGUAGAGGGGGGUAGAAUUUCAGGUGUAGCGGUGAAAUGCGUAGAGAUCUGAAGGAAUACCGGUGGCGAAGGCGGCCCCCUGGACAGAUACUGACACUCAGAUGCGAAAGCGUGGGGAGCAAACAGGAUUAGAUACCCUGGUAGUCCACGCCGUAAACGAUGUCUACUUGGAGGUUGUGGCCUUGAGCCGUGGCUUUCGGAGCUAACGCGUUAAGUAGACCGCCUGGGGAGUACGGUCGCAAGAUUAAAACUCAAAUGAAUUGACGGGGGCCCGCACAAGCGGUGGAGCAUGUGGUUUAAUUCGAUGCAACGCGAAGAACCUUACCUACUCUUGACAUCCAGAGAACUUUCCAGAGAUGGAUUGGUGCCUUCGGGAACUCU